rnacentral:rRNA from 1 species
CUCUACGGCCAUACCACCCUGAACGCGCCCGAUCUCAUCUGAUCUCGGAAGCUAAGCAAGGUCGGGUCUGGUUAGUACUUGGAUGGAAGACCGCCUGGGAAUACCGGGUACUGUAGGCU